rnacentral:ribozyme from 1 species
UUCAAUUUUAAUUAAAAAAUUUGAAAAAGGAAAAAGAGAGAACAAAAUAAAAAUUUAUUUCUUCUUUUUCUUGACAUGUU